CAAGUUCAGCUUCCCAUCUGUUAAAACAUAAGCUUCACCUCCCAUGGAAUUUCUUUAGCUUCAUGCUAAUGACCCAGCUGCACGAUGUCACUGCAUAUCAUUAGAGCCUAAUUAGCAAUACAGAUGGGCACCAGCUGAUUAGAAAGGAGGUGAGGGCAACACAGGGGAUUGCCAGGCGGAGACUGGUGAGCUGCAGGGAAGCAGGAGGGUGCCCUGACAUUGUAAAUGGGGAGACCCUGAGCAGUGCGAUAGGAGAGAUGUUGGUGAAGGAGAGGCAGAUUUCUGUGGGGCUUCGCAUGGAUGUGGUGCACUGCUUCACCUUUUGUGCAGGUGAUGAAGCUGACAAAACUUGCAUUCUUGUUUUCUGUUAUGUCUGCAACUUCUCAUCCUGAAGUUAACAGAACUUCAGGCUUAAGCAUAGAGGAAAACAUAACCCAGUCAGAGCUGUGAGACCUUCGUGGGAAUAAAGGAGGAAGAAGCAAAAAGUGCCAUGAUUAAUCAUGGAAUAGAAAGUUGAAUGCUCGGGGCAUGAAAAUGAAUGCAUGUGCUUGAAGACAAAACCACUCAUGAGCAAUAAAAGCCAACACCUAAUUGAAGCCAUCCCAGUUAUUGACCCAAUACCCAUUUGGAGCCAUCCCAGUUAUUGACCCAACACCUAAUUGGGGCCAUCCCAAUUAAUGACCCAACACCUGACUGCAGAGAAGUGAGGAAUGCAGAAGGGAAGGAGUUUUUAAUGCGUUUCCCACCAGUUGCCUAAAAGUGAGCCAUCUCUUAGUAAUGGCAACAAGAAGGAUUCAGCUCUGUAAUUAAUUGCCCUCUGUCUUCAAUUGGUGACUUUUCCUCUUUAAUAGGUUGUUCCUCCGUAAUGACAAAUUUCUCUCACUUAUAGAGAACUAUUUCCAAUUACUUCUACUCCAACAGGUUAUUUACUGGGGACUUCCAGUGCGCAGCUCACCCAGCCUUGCUUGCUCCAGGAUGGAUGAAUCAUGCCUGGGAAACCUUUGCUCAUUUUACACUGUAGAAAACAUUUAAUUGAGGGUGUUCCAAGGCACUGUUAAUGUCCUUGCAGGAUUUGCUUUGUUUUGUUUCCAAAUAUAGCAGCACCUUUUAAAGAUCCCCUGUGGAGCGCAAACAUGACUGUGCAGGGAAAGCCCCAGGCUGUAACUCUUACACCCUCACUGCAUCUACUUACUGCAAACACUCAGUUUUCACCCAGAAUUAACCCAGCACAGUGCUUGCAGCCCCUCUGUGCAGUACUGUGGGCAUUUCCCCAACUUCCACCCCUCCUUGGUGCUCCUUGUGCUACGGCUGAGUCCACCAGUGAUUAAAUCAUGGCUCAAAACCCACAAAUUGAAUAGGACAGAGUGACUAAACACAUCCAGA
ensembl:lncRNA